rnacentral:misc_RNA from 1 species
AAGUCGUAACAAGGUUUCCGUAGGUGAACCUGCGGAAGGAUCAUUAACGAGUUUUGAAACGGGUUGUAGCUGGCCUUCCGAGGCAUGUGCACACCCUGCUCAUCCACUCUACACCUGUGCACUUACUGUAGGUUGGCGUGGGCUCCUUCACGGGAGCAUUCUGCCGGCCUAUGUAUACUACAAACACUAAAGUAACAGAAUGUAAACGCGUCUAACGCAUCUUAAUACAACUUUUAGCAACGGAUCUCUUGGCUCUC